GCGCAUUUGCGACCGGUCGCCCCCGCUGCUUAGGCAGCGAGGGAGGAAAGUCCGGACUCCACAGGGCGGAGGGUCCGUCCUUCAAGGGCGGAGGAUGCGCGGCAAACGCGCAUGACGGAAAGCGCCACAGAAACCAGGUAGCCGUCUGGACGCAAGUCCAGUCCGGUGAUAGUGAAACGGCGGGGCAAGAGCCCACCGCGCCGUCUGAAACGACGGCGGCAAGGCAAGCCCUCCUCGGAGCAAGAUCAAAUAGGGAGCCGACCGGCGGCCCGUCGGGCGACGUCUUUCAGAAGAUGUCUAAGGUUCCGGGUUGAUUGCGUUAGAUGAAUGAUCGGAGGUCUCGCAAGGGACUGAACAGAAUCCGGCUUAUUCGCUGUGCGCCGCU
rnacentral:RNase_P_RNA from 1 species